AAAUCAAGGGGCGUUUCACUCGGGAUGCAUUUCAUAUAUCAUAAAAAUAAAAUGCAUUUUUUUACAUUAAAUGUACAUUAAAUGUGCAUUUAAAAAAAUUUUUAAGCGUGUACCUUUCACCAAUGUCACUGUCAAAAAUUUCAGUUAACCGCGCGGAGUGUUGGCAACAAAAAAAGAAAAAAAAUCCUGUUAUGAAAACAAAAGUUUAAUUUAGUUAAUUCGGUACAUAAAUUGGUUGAAUAAACGUGCAAAAUAGGAUUUGCAUCGACAGUCUGCUGGUGAAUGCCAGGGUACACACGUCUAUGCCGUUUUCGCACAAAGUGGUGGCGAAGAGCACCCGGAAGAGCUUUAGCUUGGAAGUGCGCUAGAGUAGCAACCGUUGCAAUGCAAGGUAGCGCAUAUUGGAUGCGGAGAAAAAGCGCUUCCAUGAGAGCCGGGGACAAGCAGCGGUACGGGUUGGAAGUGCAGAAAAACGCCCCAAUGGUCGAUCCCCAACACAUCGACACGACCACUCGGAGUAUUGCCACGACGAAAGUUGCAAUGCUUCAAGGAAUCCGGAGCAAAACUGGUCAAUACAUCGCAAGCCCGUCUCUUCAGCUUCCUCGGAAGUCGCGUCAAGGUAUUUUUGCUGUUCAUCCUGUACGGAUGCAUCAGCGGCUCAUCAAAAACAGGCUGCAAGGUGGGCGGGUGUGAUGUUGACCGCGCUUCAGUUCAUGCUGCUGCUUAUUGAACAUGAGUCCCCUCUUAACCACCAAAUCGUAAACUUCUUUAGUAUAUUCAAGUGCCUUAAUAAUUUGUCAUCGUCGCUCUUGUUUGUUUCAUUUGGAAUGUAAUAAAAUUAUUUCCGUAUAUGUAUUCGUUUUUUUUUUGUUUCUUAUUCGUAUAAAUAUUUGU